rnacentral:rRNA from 1 species
AUUGAACGCUGGCGGCAGGCCUAACACAUGCAAGUCGAGCGGAUGAAGGGAGCUUGCUCCUGGAUUCAGCGGCGGACGGGUGAGUAAUGCCUAGGAGUCUGCCUGGUAGUGGGGGAUAACGUCCGGAAACGGGCGCUAAUACCGCAUACGUCCUGAGGGAGAAAGUGGGGGAUCUUCGGACCUCAUGCUAUCAGAUGAGCCUAGGUCGGAUUAGCUAGUUGGUGGGGUAAAGGCCUACCAAGGCGACGAUCCGUAACUGGUCUGAGAGGAUGAUCAGUCACACUGGAACUGAGACACGGUCCAGACUCCUACGGGAGGCAGCAGUGGGGAAUAUUGGACAAUGGGCGAAAGCCUGAUCCAGCCAUGCCGCGUGUGUGAAGAAGGUCUUCGGAUUGUAAAGCACUUUAAGUUGGGAGGAAGGGCAGUAAGUUAAUACCUUGCUGUUUUGACGUUACCAACAGAAUAAGCACCGGCUAACUUCGUG